GACGAACGCUGGCGGCGUGCCUAAUACAUGCAAGUUGAGCGCUGAAGGUUGGUACUUGUACCAACUGGAUGAGCAGCGAACGGGUGAGUAACGCGUGGGGAAUCUGCCUUUGAGCGGGGGACAACAUUUGGAAACGAAUGCUAAUACCGCAUAAAAACUUUAAACACAAGUUUUAAGUUUGAAAGAUGCAAUUGCAUCACUCAAAGAUGAUCCCGCGUUGUAUUAGCUAGUUGGUGAGGUAAAGGCUCACCAAGGCGAUGAUACAUAGCCGACCUGAGAGGGUGGUCGGCCACAUUGGGACUGAGACACGGCACAAACUCCUACGGGAGGCAGCAGUAGGGCAUCUUCGGCAAUGGACGAAAGUCUGACCGAGCAACGCCGCGGGAGUGAAGAAGGUUUUCGGAUCGUAAAACUCGGUUGGUAGAGAAGAACGUUGGUGAGAGUGGAAAGCUCAUCAAGUGACGGUAACUACCCAGAAAGGGACGGCUAACUACGUG
rnacentral:rRNA from 1 species